AGUUAAAAUUUUCAUCUAUUCUAAUUAUUAAACUAGCGAUGCUGAUGGAAUAACCAGACAUGGCGUGCCACAUAUUCCUCAUGUCGACAUACAGGGAUUAGUUUUUAACAGUAGAAAUGGAUGAAAUUUACAAUA
rfam:Gossypium raimondii Chr13_contig_23, whole genome shotgun sequence.